GUUUCAAUUGUAUUUGUAAUGUUUUCGAACAAAAUAAUGUUUAAGAUAAUUAAAAAAGUAUAAACGAUAGAUAAUAUGAAAAAUAAAAAUUUUAUUUAGUUUUUCAAUGAAUUAUUACCAAUUUGGAUAUUUAUGUUAGUUCUCUAAAUUAGAGGAAUAUUUUUGAUAUUGACAUUUUAAAGGAUUAUGUAUGUAAAUGGGGUCCGGCUACUGUACUAUUAUGAGUACGAUCGUCCUCGUACUCAUAAGUUGUUUUCGAUGAUAGAGCUUCCAAAUUGACGAUCCACACCGUUAAACGUUAUUUACAGCAUUUAAAACUUCUAAAAAUCAAAUUUUAUAAUUUUUCGACAUCAUUUACCUUAUGAUCAAGAGGUCACAAAUUUGACAAUUUUUAACGACCGGUAUGGGAUUCUUGCUAGUUUAACGGUAUAAAAGAAUCAAAAUUUGUUGAAUUUUUGAUAGAAAAUUCUAUUCACUACAUAAAUAAAGAUCAAUAACUCCGAUCUUGAAUUGAAGGAUCCGAUCAUGUUCUUUAACACUAGGUUGUGAAUGAAUCUAGAGUCAUGUAAGCUAGAUCGAGUGGCAUCUAACCUAGUGUUAAAUAAUAUAGGUUGUGAAUGAAUUUAGAGUCAUAUAAACUAGAUCGAGUGGCAUCUAACCUAGUAUUAUUGAACAUAGGUCAAGUGGCAUCUAACCUAGUGUAUAAAACAUAGGUUGGAUAUGAAUAACAAUGAACCUAGUGUUAUUGAACCUAGAAUGAAUCAUGAGUGGCAUCUAACCUAGUGUUAAAGGACAUAGGUUAUGGAUUGAAUCUAGAGUUAAGUAAACCUAGGUUAUGUGAUAGAGACGUUGAACCUAGAGUCAAUUUGACCUAGUGAGAAAAGGACAUUGGACCUAAAUAGGUCAAU
rnacentral:lncRNA from 1 species